AGAGCUGUGAUGAAACCCAACAUGCCAUCUGACUGACCCUGCUGAAAUCCAGAGGCUGUUUCUGAGUAA
ensembl:snoRNA